rnacentral:piRNA from 1 species
UGGAAUUCGUAGCAGGUUAGCCCACUGCCAC